ACAAAGACAAACCCUGAUUUCCGUGUCCAACAUUUGACCGUCCGUCUUAUUUGAAAAAAAUAUAAAAACAAUUAAAAAGACAAGUCACGCAUAAAAUAUUAAUCAUGUUUUAUCAUCUAACAACAAUGAAAAUACGAAUUAUAAAAAAAUUUCUUAUAAGACGGACAGUUAAAGUUGGACACGGAAACCCAGGGUUUGUCUUUUU
rnacentral:pre_miRNA from 1 species